GCCUGGGUGGCUCAGUCAGUUAAGCGUCUGACUUCAGCUCAGGUCAUGAUCUCACAGUUCGUGGGUUCAAGCCCCGCAUCAGGCU
rnacentral:tRNA from 1 species